CAAGACCGCGCUAGCAUGGAUGAUCAAAACUUGAAGAAUUACAUUGUUUAAAGUCCAAAACAUCUACCUUUGAUGAAUUACAUAACUUGGACAUGUCAUUUUCUUAUAGAAGAUCUUAUAAAUUGCCUGUAUCAAGAGCAUAAAUGGAAUAUACUGAGAAACUGAAUAUCUUGAGUGAUUCACAAGGGUACUAAUAUGGUUCUUUUUUUGCAGAACUCAAAAAUGAAUUAUCUUGCUUGGAAUCACUGCAGUUGGUUAGUUUCCUAUAUGCCAGAAGCACAGGUCAGAUGAAAAUUAAGAUGCAUUAGCAAAGUUGUUUUGCUUCAUCUAUCUAAUUGCAUUGCAACUGUGAAAG
rnacentral:lncRNA from 1 species